UACAGAGGGGGCAAGCGUUAUUCGGAAUUAUUGGGCGUAAAGGGCGCGUAGGCGGCUUUGCAAGUGACGGGUGAAAUCCCUCGGCUUAACCGAGGAACUGCCUGUCAGACUGCAUGGCUUGAGACCGGGAGAGGUGAGUGGAAUUCCCAGUGUAGCGGUGAAAUGCGUAGAUAUUGGGAGGAACACCAGUGGCGAAGGCGGCUCACUGGACCGGUACUGACGCUGAGGCGCGAAAGCGUGGGGAGCAAACAGG
rnacentral:rRNA from 1 species